UUGACGCUGGCGGCAGGCCUAACACAUGCAAGUCGAACNGUGCANNCNANCNGCUUGCUNNUUCGCUGACGAGUGGCGGACGGGUGAGUAAUGUCUGGGAAACUGCCUGAUGGAGGGGGAUAACUACUGGAAACGGUAGCUAAUACCGCAUAACGUCGCAAGACCAAAGAGGGGGACCUUCGGGCCUCUUGCCAUCGGAUGUGCCCAGAUGGGAUUAGCUUGUUGGUGGGGUAACGGCUCACCNAGGCGACGAUCCCUAGCUGGUCUGAGAGGAUGACCAGCCACACUGGAACUGAGACACGGUCCAGACUCCUACGGGAGGCAGCAGUGGGGAAUAUUGCACAAUGGGCGCAAGCCUGAUGCAGCCAUGCCGCGUGUAUGAAGAAGGCCUUCGGGUUGUAAAGUACUUUCAGCGGGGAGGAAGGGAGUAAAGUUAAUACCUUUGCUCAUUGACGUUACCCGCAGAAGAAGCACCGGCUAACUCCGUGCCAGCAGCCGCGGUAAUACGGAGGGUGCAAGCGUUAAUCGGAAUUACUGGGCGUAAAGCGCACGCAGGCGGUUUGUUAAGUCAGAUGUGAAAUCCCCGGGCUCAACCUGGGAACUGCAUCUGAUACUGGCAAGCUUGAGUCUCGUANAGGGGGGUAGAAUUCCAGGUGUAGCGGUGAAAUGCGUANAGAUCUGGAGGAAUACCGGUGGCGAAGGCGGCCCCCUGGACNAAAACUGACGCUCAGGUGCGAAAGCGUGGGGAGCAAACAGGAUUANAUACCCUGGUAGUCCCGCCGUAACGAUGUCCACUNGNAGNUGUGCCCUUGAGGCGUGGCUUCGGANCUAACCCNUUANUCCACNCCCUGGGGAAUCCGCCCCAGGUUAAACUCAAUGAUUGACGGGGNCCCCCAAACNGGNGAACAGUGGUUUANUNUAUGCACNGAAAACNUUCUGGGNUNA
rnacentral:rRNA from 1 species